CACGAACCGUACGAACGUUAUUCGGAAUUACUGGGCUUAAAGGGUUUGUAGGCGGCCUUGUAAGUCAGGUGUGAAAGCCCUCGGCUCAACCGAGGAACAGCGCUUGAUACUGCAAGGCUUGAGGGAGACAGGGGUAAGCGGAACUGAUGGUGGAGCGGUGAAAUGCGUUGAUAUCAUCAGGAACACCGGUGGCGAAGGCGGCUCACUGGCCCGAUACUGACGCUGAGGCACGAAAGCGUGGGGAGCAAACAGG
rnacentral:rRNA from 1 species